AUUGAACGCUGGCGGCAUGCUUUACACAUGCAAGUCGAACGGUAACAGGCCGCAAGGUGCUGACGAGUGGCGAACGGGUGAGUAAUGCAUCGGAACGUGCCCAGUCGUGGGGGAUAACGCAGCGUAAGUUGCGCUAAUACCGCAUACGAUCUAUGGAUGAAAGCGGGGGACCGUAAGGCCUCGCGCGAUUGGAGCGGCCGAUGUCAGAUUAGGUGGUUGGUGGGGUAAAGGCUCACCAAGCCGACGAUCUGGAGCUGGUCUGAGAGGACGACCAGCCACACUGGGACUGAGACACGGCCCAGACUCCUACGGGAGGCAGCAGUGGGGAAUUUUGGACAAUGGGCGCAAGCCUGAUCCAGCAAUGCCGCGUGCAGGAAGAAGGCCUUCGGGUUGUAAACUGCUAUUGUACGGAACGAAACGGUCCUGGUUAAUACCCGGGGCUAAUGACGGUACCGUAAGAAUAAGCACCGGCUAACUACGUGCCAGCCGCCGCGGUAACAC
rnacentral:rRNA from 1 species